CCCCUGAUGGUGUAGUUGGAUAUCACGUUUGACUGUAAUGGAAAUUCCUUUGUAAUCAAAAGGUCGCUGGCUCGAUUCCGGCUCGGGGGA
rfam:Aspergillus nomius NRRL 13137 contig00193, whole genome shotgun sequence.